GGUACGCGAGCUGGGUUCAGAACGUCGUGAGACAGUUCGGUCCCUAUCCGUCGUGGGCGUAGGAAAUUUGAGAGGAGCUGUCCUUAGUACGAGAGGACCGGGAUGGACAUACCUCUGGUGUACCAGUUGUCGUGCCAACGGCAUAGCUGGGUAGCUAUGUGUGGACGGGAUAAGUGCUGAAAGCAUCUAAGCAUGAAGCCCCCCUCAAGAUGAGAUUUCCCAACUUCUGUUAUAAGAUCCCUCAAAGAUGAUGAGGUUAAUAGGUUCGAGGUGGAAGCAUGGUGACAUGUGGAGCUGACGAAUACUAAUCGAUCGAAGACUUAAUCAA
rnacentral:rRNA from 1 species